AUUGAACGCUAGCGGCAGGCCUAACACAUGCAAGUCGAACGAGCGGCGGACGGGUGAGUAAUGUGUGGGAAACUGCCCGAUCAAGGGGGAUAACUACUGGAAAAGGUAGCUAAUACCGCAUACCUUCGGAUGAGCCCAUAUGGGAUUAGCUAGUAGGUGGGGUAAAGGCUCACCUAGGCGACGAGCCCUAGCUGGUCGGAGAGGAUGAUCAGCCACACUGGGACUGAGACACGGCGCAUACUCCGACGGGCGGCAGCAGUGGGGAAUAUGGCACAAUGGGCGGAAGCAUGAUGCAGCCAGGCCGCUUGUAUGAAGAAGGCCUUGGGGUUGUAAAGCCCUUUUAUUUGGAAAGCGGUACCCGAAGAAUAAGCACCGGCUAACUCCGUGCCAGCAGCCGCGGUAAUAC
rnacentral:rRNA from 1 species